AUGACCAUAGCUCAAUUGGCGAGGGAGCCGGAGUACCGUUCUGGAGGCCGCGAGUUCGAAUCCCUCUGGCCAUC
rnacentral:tRNA from 1 species